UACAGAGGUCUCAAGCGUUGUUCGGAUUCAUUGGGCGUAAAGGGUGCGUAGGUGGUGACGCAAGUCUGGUGUGAAAUCUCGGAGCUUAACUCCGAAAUUGCACCGGAUACUGCGUAACUCGAGGACUGUAGAGGAGAUCGGAAUUCACGGUGUAGCAGUGAAAUGCGUAGAUAAUCGUGAGGAAGACCAGUUGCGAAGGGCGGAUCUCUGGGCAGUUCCUGACACUGAGGCACGAAGGCCAGGGGAGCAAACGGG
rnacentral:rRNA from 1 species